rnacentral:rRNA from 1 species
CAGGGAAUCUUGCACAAUGGGCGAAAGCCUGAUGCAGCGACGCCGCGUGGGGGAUGAAGGCCCUAGGGUCGUAAACCCCUUUCAGCAGGGACGAAGAUGACGGUACCUGCAGAAGAAGCCCCGGCCAACUACAUGCCAGCAGCCGCGGUAAGACGUAGGGGGCGAGCGUUGUCCGGAUUUAUUGGGCGUAAAGAGCUCGUAGGCGGUUGCGUAAGUCGGAUGUGAAAACUCAGGGCUCAACCCCGGAAAUGCAUACGAUACUGGCAGGCUGGAGACUGGUAGAGGCUAGCGGAAUUCCUGGUGUAGCGGUGGAAUGCGUAGAUAUCAGGAAGAACACCUGUGGCGAAGGCGGCUAGCUGGGCCAGUUCUGACGCUGAUCCGCGAAAGCGUGGGGAGCAAACAGGAUUAGAUACCCGAGUAGUCCCUGAGCGGGCUGGCAAGGCGCAU